rnacentral:tRNA from 1 species
UCCCUGCUGGCUCAGACAGUAAAGAAUCUGCCUGCAAUGCAGGAAUCCCAGGUUUGAUCUCUGGGUCGGGAA